rnacentral:rRNA from 1 species
AGCGAACGCUGGCGGCAGGCCUAACACAUGCAAGUCGAACGAAGCCUUCGGGCUUAGUGGCGGACGGGUGAGUAACACGUGGGAACGUACCUUUUGGUUCGGAAUAACGCAGAGAAAUUUGAGCUAAUACCGAAUGAGCCCUUCGGGGGAAAGAUUUAUCGCCGAAAGAUCGGCCCGCGUUGGAUUAGGUAGUUGGUGUGGUAAAGGCGCACCAAGCCUACGAUCCAUAGCUGGUCUGAGAGGAUGAUCAGCCACACUGGGACUGGGACACGGCCCAGACUCCUACGGGAGGCAGCAGUGGGGAAUCUUGCGCAAUGGGCGAAAGCCUGACGCAGCCAUGCCGCGUGAAUGAUGAAGGUCUUAGGAUUGUAAAAUUCUUUUACCAGGGACGAUAAUGGCGGUACCUGGAGAAAAAGCCCCGGCUAACUUCGUGCCAGCCGCCGCCGUAAAAC